UACGUAGGCAGCAAGCGUUGUUCGGAUUUACUGGGCGUAAAGGGUGUGUAGGCGGUUGGAUAAGUGUGGUGUGAAAUCUCCCGGCUCAACUGGGAGGGGGCGCUACAAACUGUCUGACUAGAGUGUGGGAUGGGAAAGUGGAAUUCCUGGUGUAGCGGUGAAAUGCGUAGAUAUCAGGAGGAACACCGGGGGGGUAGACGGCUGUCUGGACCAUAACUGACGCUGAGACACGAAAGCGUGGGUAGCAAACAGG
rnacentral:rRNA from 1 species